CUCAGAUGCUAUACAACUGGAAGUACCAACCUUUUCUUCUUUGGCCCAGUCUUGUCUGAUGCUCCAUGCUCCAAACGAAUGGAAAGAUUAAGUGAAGACCAGUCAAGGUGACAUGCUGCUGCCUUUGCCUGCUUAUAAAAUGGAUAAAGGCACUGAUGUUCCUGUUACUAGGAGACCAGACAACCUUCUCGAAGUGAAACAUUCCCCAAGACCCAGGAGUCAUCUGUGUGACCUUGAUACCAUCUAUCUUCGAAGAAAGCAGGAAGUGGAGGAUGCCAUGGCAACAGAUAAUGGAAGCCAUCGAGGAAAGAAGCUAACAGACAAGGCUACUCCCAGAAAAAAUACCAAGUAAAAGAGUCACAUCCAAACCAGGCCAACUGAGAAAACAAGAAGAGAGGCCAGAAGAAAAGGAGAGGUGAUCUCUUUCAGUGUUGACAGUGGGAAAAGAUCCUCAGAGCCCAAUAAGAAGAGUUUUCUCAUUCCUGUGGAAACCAUCCUGGGAAAAUGAUGAGACGACAUCCAUUGCAAAGAUCCACAGUCAUGACCAUUGUGGAGCAAGUAUUCAAACACCUUAGAGUUGGAGGCCAUUCCUGACCACCUUAUGUGACAAGAAGCCUAUCAUGGGUGAGGAUGGGGGAAGGGUAGAUCAGAGUAAAUGCAGCAAUGAGAGAGAGAGAGACAGAGAGAGAGAGAGAGAGAGAGAGAGAGAGAGAGAGAGAGAGAGAGAGAGAGAGAGAGAGAGAGAGAGAACUGAUCACACUCCACUAUUCUAGGUAUCUAUAGAUGGGAUCCAACACCAUCCUAGGAAUACUGAGAGACAUAAGAGCUGGUUCAAGUUCAGGUAAACAGUGAGUCCAGAUCCAUGAAGAAUCUUCUUUCCCAAGUGAAUGAGUCAAAUCAGAGCAGCAGCACCACUCUGAAGGCCAACAUCAGUGAAUCCAGUGGGCUGAUCUGUUCACAGACACCUGCAACAAGGUCAGGUUAUAGGCCCAGGCAAUCAUAGAGGUUUGAGAGCCAGGCUUUCUUAAGGCAUCUGGGCCACCUCACAGUGGGUCAGAUAGUUCGCAAGUGCCCUGAAGAAGAUCAGUGGGGGAUGGACAGAGUCCAUGCCAUUCACUAGUAGAGGGUCCUAAGACCCAAGUGGCAUAUUGGUGUUAGGAGAUCUGUGAGUUCUGGUAUGGCAAGUGAAUUUGGAAGCCUAGGAGGUGCUGGACCACCAGACCUGACUCAGAGCUUCAAC
rnacentral:lncRNA from 1 species